CCGGCGGGGAGGCCGGGGCAGCCGGGGAAGGUGGCGGCGGGGCCCGCUCACGUCGGCGGAAACGCGCUCCGCUCUGCCCUUGUAAAUAUUUGUCAGGAAGCAGUUGCCAAAGAAAGUAUCUCGUUAUGCAAUUUAUUUAUUUUUUUAUGGAAGAAGCGAGCUUCCCCCCCCCCCAACACCUCCUCCUCCUCGCCCGCCCCUCGCCUCUUCAGCGAGUCGUAAAAACAGGAAAAUAUUAUGAAUUGCACAAGGUUUUUCGCGGCGUGCAGAGCCCUGUGAAGGCACGUAUGUGGCAGCCUCUUCCUCGGCGUGCACGGGCUUGCACAGCAAAAUGUUUUACAGACUUUCUGCGUGUACCGUCUUGCAUGGCAAAGUGUCUUUAACAUACCGACGGGGGGGAAAAUCCACACACAUACCCCCCUCUACAAGGAACAAGGACCGUGUAUCCUAACAUGUUUAUGUAAAACAUCCAUUGCUAGUGAAAGAUGGAUUUUUUUUUUUUUUCCUCCAGUAUAAAUUUGCUUUGGCACUAGUGGCUGUUGGGGGUUGAAUUCUUGGUCCUAGGCUGGAGGGCUUCGUGCAGCCCCUCAUUCCCCACCAGCCUCCAGCUUCUGUGGUUCUUGAAGCGGGGAGAUGGGCAGUUCACGGAGGGGCCACCUUUAUACCUGUUUUUCCACUGAUAAUACCGUUUUAAACAGGCUCUGAGUUUCUACUCAGGAAGUUACACUUAAAGAUUUUUUUUAUUUUUUUUUUGCUGUUGAUUUAUUGAGUAAUGUGUUAGACUAAAGGAGCCUCUUCUACAGUGCUACUUGAUUUUCACAUCAGCUGCUUUUUUUUUUUUUUAAUCGGUGCUUUUUAAAACAGGGGAUUUGUCCCUGGGGAGGGGGGGAACAUUGUAGGGCUUGCUGCACACAGAGGCACCCUAACCCUCACAGGUGGACCUGGCAUGGGUGGCAGGGGGCCAUAACCCAGUGGAACGAGUGCAGGAGAGGGGUCCUUAGUCUGCAGGUUAGCUGUCACUACUAAAAUGGCUCUGGGAAGGCAGUGGUGAUUAAAAAAAUCCUUGUUUCCUCCCCGCUCUCCCCUGCCGUUGCAGGGCACGCAGCAAUUGUCCACCCACCAGCCUCCCUGUGCAGUGGGCAACCUCCAGUCCCCGCUAGACAGUUGCCCAUUGUAACAAUGCUGGCCAAAAGGAGGGCGAGAACAAGGGCAACCAUCGGCAAGAGUCAGCAAAGCAAAUCCUGCUGGAUCAGGGCCAGCGGGCUGUGAAUGCUCAUCACCUUCCAGGGGAAUUACUUGGUGCAGCUGUGAGCAGAAGGACAUUGCCGUUCUUGACACCAGAAGUUUGAUUCCAAUUUACGAUAAGAGUCAGAGAAAGUAUUCCUGGAGACUGGUUUAGGCAUUAAAAAAAAAAAGGCAAGGGUGUGUGGGGAAGAGUUAAUUUCUUUGUCCACCUCCCUUUACCAGCUGCCUUCCUCAACAACCUUGGGAAAAUCUGCUCUGCCUUGGUUUCACCCUCUGUAAAAUGGGAAUAGUAAUACUGACAGACCCUUCCUUUUAGAUCGCUGGAUCAAAGGUACUAUAUAAGUUCAAAGUGCUGUUUCCAUAGGACAUUAUUGCCAAAUUCCCUAUAAGCGAUUCCAUUGGGUACUUGAUAACAACAGUAGAAUCAGUCAAACGCCCUUGAUGUGUUGCAUGGUCCCAGAUACCUUUCAGAGCCUCUUUGUGUGCCAUCCCACCCCCUGAGGUCUGCAGGGAUGGGGCUUUUGGAGCCUGGAUUUUGCAGGAGCAGGAGGGGUACAGUCUGUGUCUUUGCUUCUGGCCCCUGAACUAUGGACCGCUUUUCUUUUUGACCUGAGGAGGACAACUGGAGCUAGCCCUUUUAAAAACAGGUUUAAAACAUACAACUUAUAUAUAUAUAUAUAAAAAAAAAUUUCAUAAAACCUUUAGUACAUAAUGCUAAACUUGUUGAUUUUUGGUUGCUUUACUCUUGCAUGGUUUGUUGUCAUUUUAAUCUGUCUGUUUCACUGCAAAGUGGUUAGGAUGCUUUUGGAUCUAGACGCAUUGCUAAAAGAAAUUUGGUUCAUGUUAGCUUUGCAAUUUUUAGCUAUUAGGCAGCUAAACAUUUUCUAAAAUUUCACAUUUUUUAAAAAUAAAACUACCCCAGGAAAACUGAUAUCUUAAUAGCUGGAAGUGUUGCAAUUAUGAUUAACUCGUAAUACUGUUCUUUCAAUUAUAAAAAUGUUUCUAAAAUACAUUUUGUGUUUCUAAUUUUUCUAAAAUACAGUGUGUUAUGGUCCACUAUCAAAACAAGAAGAGUAAAUGCUAUAUCGGAUAUUACAAUGCGGGGCUUCGUGAGUAAAUUCACAAACAGUCCGGUUAUUCUUCCUCUUCUACUUUUUUUCUUUCCCCCCGUAAGAAGCACUAAGUGUGUAUAUGCGGCUUCAGAAGUUUCCUUAGAGCUCUUUUAUACUUUAAUAGGUUUGUUUUGGUGGCUGUUUGCUAGACGAGUAUGCUGCAGACAUAUUUUUCUCAAAAGGUCAAGCAGUCUCCUAACAUGUCCAUUGUGUAUCACUGCAGUAAGAAAUCCUCAGUGCAAAGGAGAGCUUCAUGGUUAAAUUUUAAAAGAUAAUGAUUUAAAUCUUUUUGUUAGCCUCUUUUUUUACAUCCUUAGUACUGCUUUUGGAGAGUCAACUUUUAACACGGUAGAAAGCAGGAAGCCCAUUAAUUAAAAAUACCAAACAGCUAAAGCUAAACUUAGUUGGUCACCUUUCCUUCUGAAAUCCUGUGAUUUAGCUAUGUUUGUAAGGAACAUAGUAUUGAAUGAGUAGCUAUGGCACUAAUAUAAGGACAAAGCAAAAUUACCAAUUACAGAAACAUCUAGGGCUCUGGGCCUGAAUCUUUGAUUUCCCAUAUGGAUCUUAAAAAUGUAUGCAUAAUUGGCUUCUAACCGUGCAUACUCUACGAACAUAUUCAAGAAUCAACUACAGAUAUUUUUUCAGACAUUGACUAAAUAUAUAUCCACUUGUCAGCAAAAAAAAAUACAUCAUUCUGAUGCUCUUAAAAAAAAGAAAAAAAAUAAAAGGAAUCUUCUUCCAGCGAAGGGAAGUUGUAGUGUAUUAAAAAAGUCACAUAUUUUCACUUUCAUACAGGAGUGAAGGGGAAAAGAGAGGAGAUGCUUGCAAUAUUUAAGCACUCUUUGAGAUACAGGACUAAUCAAUGUAACUUCUGCCUCAUAUUGGAGACCUACAGUUUUUUAAUACACAUCAGAAUCUUUGCUAUGUUAAAGCAAAUACCUGUGCCAUUUCAGAAAAAAAAAAAAUGUUCUUUAUGGACAAAGAGGAAGAGAAUUGGCCAAACUCAAAAUUCUGGUGAGAUUUCACUUUUCUCAGAAAUUAUACAAAAAAUUAUGUGUGUAACUCUGGGUCAUUUUGAAGGAGAGACCCUACAAAAUGUUAAUAAAUUAGCAUAGAAGAUACUGAUCAAAACAUGUUGUUAACUGGUUGGAAUGACGUAGUAGUCUAUAAAUGUUGCUUCAAGCAUUGGAAAUAGAAUUGUCAUUGGCUACUAAUUUGUUUUAAAAAAAAAAAAGUUAUUCUUUUCCUCAGUGUUCCUGUUUUGGAUAUAAGCAAUGUGCCUUAAUGUUUCCCUCUUUAAUUCAGUACACAUGAAUGCCUACCUCGGUUUAACUUUAUUUAUCAGGUAUGUUUCAGAAACUGAAAAAAGUCUCCAGCUGAUUUAGCAGCUGAGGCAUUACUCAUCAGAAUAUCUGAUUACUGGCAUAUUAAGCAGUGGAACAGAAUAAACAUGAAGCAUUGCAUCCCCCAACACAUAUAGUUUAAUUACUACUAACCAAACAAAUACCAAGGUGGCUUUAUAUUCAAAAUUUUUUGCAUGAUCAUGUAAAUAGAAAUCCACAAUAUUGAUCCUUUUCAAAAUGUUGUCAUUAUCAAGUAAACCACAGCACUUAAGUUUGCCUUUAAAA